rnacentral:lncRNA from 1 species
AUGAGAAUCAACUGUUUUUCUUGUAAAAACAACUUUUCAUCUUUCACCCAUUCAGGUACAGGUAGAGGAUAUGAUGGGACUCAUAGCCCACCUGGUCCUCCAGGACCUCCAGGUUCACCUGGCUUUCCAGGUUCACCUGGCUCCAUCUCCGUCAAUGACAUCAUCAAUCUAUUGCAACGAGAGGACGUGAGGAGAUAUGUUUCUGGUCCUCCUGGUCCACCAGGACCUCCUGGAGCUACAGACCAGGGCAGCUACAGAAUCAACACCCAGGAGGUGGCUGAUCGUGUCCUAAGCCUCAUGAAUGAGAGGGGGUUGGUAGGUGCUCCUGGACCACAAGGACCUCCUGGAGCUCCUGGUCUUCCUGGAAACUCGUUAUCAACUGGGUAUCAAGUACAAGUGGGCCCUCAAGGGCCUCCUGGUCCCCCAGGUAUCCCUGGUCCACAAGGUCCACAAGGUCCACCUGGCACACCUAGCCCACAUGGAUAUGGGACCUACCUCACUUCAGAUAUCCGUGACUACCUUCAAAGUGUCUCCUUGAGGGGACCACCAGGCCCCCCUGGUCCCCAGGGACCUGAAGGCCCCCCCGGUCAAAUAAACGGGUUGGUUUCCUAUGCUGAGCAUGCCAACAGACAGGCGCUCAGAGCAGAACUGCAAGAAUAUAUCAAGAGUGAUAAUUCGAGAGCAGCUAUGUUUGGACUUCCUGGACCACCAGGCCCUCCUGGACCUGCAGGACAUAAGGGAGAGCCAGGCCUAACCAGUGCCAGUGACUGGAACCCGGAUACCAAAGAAUACACCAAUAUGGCUGUCAAAGUAACUGAUUACAUCAAAUCUCAUGGUCUGCUCAGUGAUGGUGAAUGGAGAAACAAUGAACGCGCCACCCAAGGGCUGCCGGGACCACCUGGCCCUCCAGGUCCCCCUGGAUACAGCCGAUUGUUUGGUUCCAACGAAAACGUCACUGAUUUAGUGGAAUACUUCAAAACACAUGGAGCCAUUGUGGGGCCGCCCGGGAGACCAGGAGAGAAAGGGGACAUGGGAUCACCAGGACCCAAAGGAGAGAAAGGAGAAUUCCAACUGAUCACUAGGAGGAGGAGGAGGGAUGUUGGUGUUUAA